GUGGCUGAAUCUACCAGGCUCGGCGAGCGGACAGAUGGGAGCAUGCACCUGAUGUAGCGGCGGACGGGUGAGUAACACGUGGGUAACCUGCCUGUAAGACUGGGAUAACUCCGGGAAACCGGGGCUAAUACCGGAUGCUUGUUUGAACCGCAUGGUUCAGACAUAAAAGGUGGCUUCGGCUACCACUUACAGAUGGACCCGCGGCGCAUUAGCUAGUUGGUGAGGUAACGGCUCACCAAGGCAACGAUGCGUAGCCGACCUGAGAGGGUGAUCGGCCACACUGGGACUGAGACACGGCCCAGACUCCUACGGGAGGCAGCAGUAGGGAAUCUUCCGCAAUGGACGAAAGUCUGACGGAGCAACGCCGCGUGAGUGAUGAAGGUUUUCGGAUCGUAAAGCUCUGUUGUUAGGGAAGAACAAGUGCCGUUCAAAUAGGGCGGCACCUUGACGGUACCUAACCAGAAAGCCACGGCUAACUACGUGCCAGCAGCCGCGGUAAUACGUAGGUGGCAAGCGUUGUCCGGAAUUAUUGGGCGUAAAGGGCUCGCAGGCGGUUUCUUAAGUCUGAUGUGAAAGCCCCCGGCUCAACCGGGGAGGGUCAUUGGAAACUGGGGAACUUGAGUGCAGAAGAGGAGAGUGGAAUUCCACGUGUAGCGGUGAAAUGCGUAGAGAUGUGGAGGAACACCAGUGGCGAAGGCGACUCUCUGGUCUGUAACUGACGCUGAGGAGCGAAAGCGUGGGGAGCGAACAGGAUUAGAUACCCUGGUAGUCCACGCCGUAAACGAUGAGUGCUAAGUGUUAGGGGGUUUCCGCCCCUUAGUGCUGCAGCUAACGCAUUAAGCACUCCGCCUGGGGGAGUACGGUCGCAAGACUGAACUCAAGGGAAUUGACGGGGGCCCGCACAAGCGUGGAGCAUGUGGUUUAAUUCGAAGCAACGCGAGACCUUUACCAGGUCUUGACAUCCUCUGACAUCCUAGAGAUAGGACGUCCCCUUUCGGGGGCAGAGUGACAGUGUGCAUGAUGUCGUCAGCUCGUGUCGUGAGAUGUUUGGGUUUAGUUCCCCGCAACGGAGCCGCAACCCUGA
rnacentral:rRNA from 1 species